rnacentral:rRNA from 1 species
UACGUAGGGUGCAAGCGUUGUCCGGAAUUAUUGGGCGUAAAGAGCUCGUAGGCGGUUUGUCGCGUCUGGUGUGAAAAUCCAGGGCUUAACCCUGGACCUGCAUCGGGUACGGGCAGACUAGAGUGCGGUAGGGGAGAUCGGAAUUCCUGGUGUAGCGGUGAAAUGCGCAGAUAUCAGGAGGAACACCGGUGGCGAAGGCGGAUCUCUGGGCCGAUACUGACGCUGAGGAGCGAAAGCGUGGGGAGCAAACAGG